rnacentral:rRNA from 1 species
UACGUAGGGUGCAAGCGUUGUCCGGAAUUAUUGGGCGUAAAGAGCUCGUAGGCGGUUUGUCGCGUCUGCUGUGAAAAUCCAGGGCUUAACCCUGGACCUGCAGUGGGUACGGGCAGACUGGAGUGCGGUAGGGGAGAUCGGAAUUCCUGGUGUAGCGGUGAAAUGCGCAGAGUAUCAGGAGGAACACCGGUGGCGAAGGCGGAUCUCUGGGCCGUAACUGACGCUGAGGAGCGAAAGCAUGGGGAGCGAACAGG